rnacentral:misc_RNA from 1 species
AUUCUUCUUUGCGGUUAUUGUUUAAUCUAUAUAUGAAUCUUUACAUGGUUUUUAUAGAAGUUAGCAACAAUGCACUACCACGUGCCUUGCUUUAGCUAGUUUAAUUUAUUGAUUCAUUGGCUUUCCUAGAUCGCAAGAUCAAAGGAGACCAUGGAUUUGUGUAUGCAUAUAUACAUGACCAUAUAUCAUCAGCCACUCCUAGAAGAAGAA